GUUGCCCUCCACUUUUACUAUACUAGUUCCAUCAAGCGGCAGUGAGGUUAUAUUUGAUUCUGUAAACGGUCAACAAAAGAGAGCCGAACAUAAAGCAGGUGAUAAGUUGAUCCACAGUGGACGUGUUAUUGCAGAGUAUGAUGGCUCAAUGUGGCACAAAUAUAAUCAGCAAUGAUGACACAAACUUCCUCGUCCAACGGAAUUAAGAGAAAAACAAGGAAAAAUACGUGACACCAACUGGAAUAAUGCUACUUUAGCCUCUCCCAAAAUAUUGAAAUAAUGACGAUCAAAUGCACACGCAAAAUAUUAUGUACCAUUCUAACUUUUGAGGGAAAUAAAAAACUAAGUCACAAAUAUAUAA